rnacentral:rRNA from 1 species
UGGGGAAUAUUGCACAAUGGGCGGAAGCCUGAUGCAGCGACGCCGCGUGGGGGAUGAAGGCCUUCGUGUUGUAAACUCCUUUCGACAGGGACGAAGCUUUUGUGACGGUACCUGUAUAAGAAGCACCGGCUAACUACGUGCCAGCAGCCGCGGUAAUACGUAGGGUGCGAGCGUUGUCCGGAAUUACUGGGCGUAAAGAGCUCGUAGGUGGUUUGUCGCGUCGUCUGUGAAAUUCCGGGGCUUAACUCCGGGCGUGCAGGCGAUACGGGCUGACUUGAGUGCUGUAGGGGAGACUGGAAUUCCUGGUGUAGCGGUGAAAUGCGCAGAUAUCAGGAGGAACACCGAUGGCGAAGGCAGGUCUCUGGGCAGUAACUGACGCUGAGGAGCGAAAGCAUGGGUAGCGAACAGG